rnacentral:rRNA from 1 species
UGAGGAAUAUUGGUCAAUGGGCGAGAGCCUGAACCAGCCAAGUAGCGUGAAGGAUGACUGCCCUAUGGGUUGUAAACUUCUUUUANAAAGGAAUAAAGUCGGGUAUGCAUACCCG